rnacentral:tRNA from 1 species
GCCUGGGUGGCUCAGUCGGUUGAGCAACUGACUUCGGUUCAGAUCAUGAUUUCGCAGCUCAUGAGUUCAAGCCACAUGUCGGGCU